rnacentral:rRNA from 1 species
GUGACUGCGUACCUUUUGUAUAAUGGGUCAGCGACUUAUAUUCUGUAGCAAGGUUAACCGAAUAGGGGAGCCGAAGGGAAACCGAGUCUUAACUGGGCGUUAAGUUGCAGGGUAUAGACCCGAAACCCGGUGAUCUAGCCAUGGGCAGGUUGAAGGUUGGGUAACACUAACUGGAGGACCGAACCGACUAAUGUUGAAAAAUUAGCGGAUGACUUGUGGCUGGGGGUGAAAGGCCAAUCAAACCGGGAGAUAGCUGGUUCUCCCCGAAAGCUAUUUAGGUAGCGCCUCGUGAAUUCAUCUCCGGGGGUAGAGCACUGUUUCGGCAAGGGGGUCAUCCCGACUUACCAACCCGAUGCAAACUGCGAAUACCGGAGAAUGUUAUCACGGGAGACACACGGCGGGUGCUAACGUCCGUCGUGAAGAGGGAAACAACCCAGACCGCCAGCUAAGGUCCCAAAGUCAUGGUUAAGUGGGAAACGAUGUGGGAAGGCCCAGACAGCCAGGAUGUUGGCUUAGAAGCAGCCAUCAUUUAAAGAAAGCGUAAUAGCUCACUGGUCGAGUCGGCCUGCGCGGAAGAUGUAACGGGGCUAAACCAUGCACCGAAGCUGCGGCAGCGACGCUUAUGCGUUGUUGGGUAGGGGAGCGUUCUGUAAGCCUGCGAAGGUGU